CCAUAGCUCAGAGGUUGAGGCACAGGUCUCGUAAACCAGGGUUGCGAGUUCGAAUCUCGCUAAUUGGU
rnacentral:tRNA from 13 species